ACUUGGUGUGAAUUGCAGAAUCCCGCGAACCAUCGAGUCUUUGAACGCAAGUUGCGCCCGAAGCCCUCGGGCCGAGGGCACGCCUGCCUGGGUGUCACACGACAUCGCCCACCCCACCCCCGAGUCCCUCGGGGGCACGGCCGGUGGCGGAAGAUGGCCUCCCGGGAGCACGGUCUCGCGGUUGGCCCAAAAGCCAGGUCCCCGGCGACGUUCGCCUCGGCAACGGUGGUUGAGAGACCCUCGCACGGCGCCGCGCGGCGCGUCGUCGCUCCGGACCCGGAAGAACCCGACCCCUUCUCGCAACGCGACCCCAGGUCAGGCGAGACUACC
rnacentral:rRNA from 1 species